AGGAUUUAGCGAUGAGUCGAUGUGUUUAUUUUUCUACGAUAUCGGUAUUUAUUCUGUCUAUCGGUAUUUGUUGUGCUGCACUUCCUUAAUAAUUUGAUGCAUACAAAAUUGUGCAGUAAUUGCCAAAUAAAUUAUAAACAUUUUUCGUAAUGCCAGGAAAAAACGAAUGUUUAAUUUUCUUCUUUUGCACUGCAAAAUCAUCGGAUAGACAUCGCAUUAAUAUUACCGCCAAUUUUAAAUAUUGCCCAUUGCCAUGACGCACAGGAAAGUGAAAGAUGACAAAGUUUUAAAUAUAUGUUAAUAUUUAUUGGACCAAAUUUACAACAAAGUUCUCAAUUUAAAAAAUAAACUUGUAAGCAAUUUUAUUACUUAAAGGCGCGUAUGUAGACAUUUUACCUAGCGCCAUUUAUGUAUGGGUGUAUAUUUUGAGAUAUCAUCAGAUAAACUUAUCUUUAGAAAAUUAUGAUUUUACCGCUAUCCUGAUUCCAUUGUUAUUAUAGCACUGCAUACCUUCAAAAUAGAAAAUAAACGAACAACCCCCCGUUAAUUACUCAGCUUUUUUAUUUUUGCAACGACCUUUGGGUAUUCAUUUAAUUCUAGUGUCUACGCAGUCCGAUUAAAAUUAUACUAAUAUUCUUUUCGCUAGCUUCGUCGGCUACUUGUGGCCACAAAAUUACAAUAUAUUUGUUAGGUACUUGCGUUUGUUUCUUGGCUAGUUUGGAAUUGAAAACAACUAAAUUUUAAAAUUAAAGCAGACUUUGGUUGUCAGUUUUCUUCCGUGGUUCGUUGGAUAUGCGUGGUUUUGGAUUAAAAUCAAUAAGCUAACUAAGGCAACAACCUAUACAAUCCAUUUAGUUAACUGGUUAGAAAAUGGAAUCCAAAGAUUCAUCGAGUUGGCGUUGUGCUGAAAAAAUACAUUUAUUCUCUGUGGUGCAUAAAAAUGUUAAAAACGUCUCAGCUUCUUUAGAAGAUUUACAAAUUUUGCCUGUGAAGUAAAAGAAGAAAGUGUUUUAAAUCACAGGUUUCGUUUCUCGAUCCGUUUCAAUUAAUACACAUCCAUUAAAAUAAAACACAACCGUGCUUGAUUAACUGAAAAUUGCAAAAUUUAUUAACUUUGGAGUUUUUGUACGUACUGCUCUUUGCCGAUUUGAAGCUGCCAAUUUUGAAUGUUAAAUGAGUUGGGAACACUUUUGGUUGGUAUGUACAAAAAACUUGUAUUUAAUUUAUAUUUAUUUUAACAAUUCCAAUUAGGUUUAACAAUUAUGACACUCUUUGUUUUGGUUCGAUUAUCUAACACUUAAGCACUGUAUACAUUGAAAAACACUUGCGAGAAUUAGAGGAAAUAGAAAUGCAGUUGACGUGGAACGACUUUUCUGACUUUAUGCAUAUAUCUAUAUAAUGCCAGCUUUAUAUGCCUUGGUGAAGAUGACUGGUUGAUUUGAUCUAUGCGGGUAUAUAUAGUAUUUACAAUAUACAUUGACUGAUCUUGUUUGGGUGUAACACAGUUUAAAGUUUUGGCGACGGCAUGAUGGAAGUAUCCCUAUAAAAAUAAUAUAAAAA